rnacentral:rRNA from 1 species
ACACUCCUACGGGAGGCAGCAGUGGGGAAUUUUGGACAAUGGGCGAAAGCCUGAUCCAGCAAUGCCGCGUGUGUGAAGAAGGCCUUCGGGUUGUAAAGCACUUUUGUCCGGAAAGAAAUCCUUGGCUCUAAUACAGUCGAGGGAUGACGGUACCGGAAGAAUAAGCACCGGCUAACUACGUGCCAGCAGCCGCGGUAAUCCGUAGGGUGCGAGCGUUAAUCGGAAUUACUGGGCGUAAAGCGUGCGCAGGCGGUUUGCUAAGACCGAUGUGAAAUCCCCGGGCUCAACCUGGGAACUGCAUUGGUGACUGGCAGGCUAGAGUAUGGCAGAGGGGGGUAGAAUUCCACGUGUAGCAGUGAAAUGCGUAGAGAUGUGGAGGAAUACCGAUGGCGAAGGCAGCCCCCUGGGCCAAUACUGACGCUCAUGCACGAAAGCGUGGGGAGCAAACAGGAUUAGAUACCCUAGUAGUCCCA